GUGAGAGACUCCAGGAGACUUAAUUUCUCUGUCCACAGAACUGGUGCAGCAAAGGCAGCAACAGUGCAAUCUUCCUCAUGUAGCCACAUCAAUGUGCCUCAACUUUGAUUUACAGAGCUCAACUCUGGGGUCAGAAUAAGAUAUUAGUUCAGUUUCCAUCCCCAUUCAAUUCUUGGCCACU
rnacentral:sRNA from 1 species